GAUGAACGCUAAGCGGAGGCUUAACACAUGCAAGUCGAGGGGCAGCAUAGGGUAGCAAUACUCUGAUGGCGACCGGCAAACGGGUGAGUAACGCGUAUGCAACCUACCCUGUACAGGGGGAUAACCCGGAGAAAUUCGGACUAAUAUCCCGUAAUAAUAUCCGGAGGCAUCUUUGGAUAUUAAAGUUCCGACGGUACGGGAUGGGCAUGCGUAACAUUAACUGGUUGGUAAGGUAACGGCUUACCAAGGCUAUGAUGUUUAGGGGUCCUGAGAGGGUGGUCCCCCACACUGGUACUGAGACACGGACCAGACUCCUACGGGAGGCAGCAGUGAGGAAUAUUGGUCAAUGGGCGCAAGCCUGAACCAGCCAUCCCGCGUGCAGGAAGACGGCCCUAUGGGUUGUAAACUGCUUUUCCAGGGAGAGAAACUUACGCACGUGUUGCGUGACUGACGGUACCCUGGGAAUAAGCAUCGGCUAACUCCGUG
rnacentral:rRNA from 1 species